GGGCUUCUGAAGUAAAGCAGGAGAGGGAGAGAGAUGACAUUAUUUUUCUUUUGAAAUUGGUAUAGGGAGGCUAAGGAAGCAUCAAGUCUUCCAAAAACUUGAUAAACACACAUUUCAUGAAUUUAUUCAACCUUCUUUUAAAGCCAUCCAUGUUUGUGGCCAUCAGUAUAUCUUGAUGGAAUUCCAAAGGUUACAUUUUUACACAGUUCAAAUUCAAUCAUCUCUUACUUUCUUGCAGCUGUAAGAAAAUAGAAUAUAAUCCAUAUGAUAAUCCGUGAAUUUGUUUAUGCUAUUUUGUGAACUGGUGAACUAAGAAAAAAAAAUCCAGAUCUCUUACAAUGCAGAGCAACAUAAGAUCAUUCUUCCAGCCUCUGGCACGAGUAAAGUCUGAAAAAGAAAAAACAGAAGACAACCACUUGGAAGAUGUGCUUAUUUCACAAAAGAAAUUAGUAAAUGGUUCAGAACUCUGUGAAGACUUCGCAGUGAACUCUGCAUCAAAAAAAGCUAAGGUCCUUAAGAGUGAUGAUGAAGAAGAUUCUGUGGAAUUAGAUAGAAAGGGUGCACAAGCAGAUGACAACAAGUUGGUAAGUCUGUUCCUAUAACAUCUUAAUAUUUGAGAGAAUAAUGGAAAAC
rnacentral:lncRNA from 1 species